AGUGUAGGCGGCUCUGCAAGUUAAAUGUGAAAUCCUACGGCUUAACCGUAGAACUGCAUUUAAAACUGUGGAGCUAGAGUAUGGAAGAGGUAAGUGGAAUUCCUAGUGUAGCGGUAGAAUGCGUAGAUAUUAGGAGGAACACCAGAGGCGAAGGCGGCUUACUGGGACAUUACUGACGCUGAGGCUCGAAAGCGUGGGGAGCAAACA
rnacentral:rRNA from 1 species